rnacentral:rRNA from 1 species
GAUUAACGCUGGCGGCGUGCCUAACACAUGCAAGUCGAGCGGCAGCGAGUUUUACACUGAAUUCUGGAAGCUUCUAGUUGAAAGAGAAGAUUUAUUCAAGAAUUUUGUGUAAAAUGUCGGCGAGCGGCGGACGGCUGAGUAACGCGUGGGAACGUACCCCAAAGUGAGGGAUAACGCAUCGAAAGGUGUGCUAAUACCGCAUAUGGUCUUCGGAUUAAAGCCUUCGGGCGCUUUGGGAACGGCCUGCGUAAGAUUAGAUAGUUGGUGGGGUAAUGGCCUACCAAGUCGACGAUCGUUAACUGGUUUGAGAGGAUGAUCAGUCAGACUGGAACUGAGACACGGUCCAGACUCCUACGGGAGGCAGCAGUGAGGAAUCUUCCACAAUGGGCGAAAGCCUGAUGGAGCAACGCCGCGUGCAGGAUGAAGGCCUUCGGGUUGUAAACUGCUUUUAUAAGUGAGGAUUAUGACAGUAACUGAUGAAUAAGGAGCGGCUAACUACGUG